UACGUAGGGUGCAAGCGUUAAUCGGAAUUACUGGGCGUAAAGCGUGCGCAGGCGGAUUUGUAAGACAGAGGUGAAAUCCCCGGGCUCAACCUGGGAACUGCCUUUGUGACUGCAAGGCUAGCGUACGGCAGAGGGGGGUGGAAUUCCGCGUGUAGCAGUGAAAUGCGUAGAUAUGCGGAGGAACACCGAUGGCGAAGGCAACCCCCUGGGCCUGUACUGACGCUCAUGCACGAAAGCGUGGGGAGCAAACAGGAUUAGAUACCCUGGUAGUCCACGCCCUAAACGAUGUCAACUGGUUGUUGGGUCUUAACUGACUCAGUAACGAAGCUAACGCGUGAAGUUGACCGCCUGGGGAGUACGGCCGCAAGGUUGAA
rnacentral:rRNA from 1 species